UACGUAGGGACCAAGCGUUGUCCGGAAUCAUUGGGCGUAAAGAGCGUGUAGGCGGCUUGUUAAGUCUUGCGUGAAAUCUCGGGGCUCAACCCCGAGCGGUCGUGAGAAACUGGCAGGCUAGAGUGCGGGAGAGGAGAGUGGAAUUCCUGGUGUAGCGGUGAAAUGCGUAGAGAUCGGGAGGAACACCUGUGGCGAAGGCGGCCGACUGGGCCGACCCUGACGCUGAGGCGCGAAGGCGUGGGGAGCGAACGGG
rnacentral:rRNA from 1 species